rnacentral:rRNA from 1 species
AGAAUCAACGCUGGCGGCGUGCCUAACACAUGCAAGUCGAACGAGAAAGUGGAGCAAUCCAUGAGUAAAGUGGCGACCGGGUGAGUAACACGUGACUAACCUACCUUCGAGUGGGGGAUAACAUCGGGAAACCGAUGCUAAUACCGCAUAACAUCGCAAGAUCAAAGCAGCAAUGCGCUGGAAGAGGGGGUCGCGGCUGAUUAGCUAGUUGGCGGGGUAACGCCCACCAAGGCGAAGAUCGGUAGCCGGCCUGAGAGGGCGCACGGCCACACUGGAACUGAAACACGGUCCAGACUCCUACGGGAGGCAGCAGUGGGGAAUUUUGCGCAAUGGGGGAAACCCUGACGCAGCAACGCCGCGUGGAGGAUGGAACGCCCUUGGGGUGUAAACUCCUUUCGACCAAGACGAUAAUGACGGUACUGGUGGAAGAAGCACCGGCUAACUCUAGCGCCAGCAGCCGC